GUAGAAUCCCCAGGAUACACUUGAAAACCAGAGUAAUCUUCAUGUGCCUUUCCUGGUUAAAUACUUUGUUAUUAUUAUUAUAAUAUCCAGUGAAGUUUGAAGGAAUUUGGGUAAAACCUCCAUAAAUUGUGCUAAAACAUAGAAAAGGAUCAAGGGAAAUAUACAGAAAUCCUUGCCUGUUCAAUAUCACUUAAUCAGUGGUACGGUCUUUGGAAU